GAACACGCGGGCCACCUUGGAGACAGCCGGCUUGCCAAUCUGUAAGAGACCGUUUUUUUCCAUAACUUCCAGGACUUGGGGAGUUAACGGUUUAACCCGACUCUCACACUUAGGUCUCAAUUCUUGAGGGUCUUUUGACUCGCAAAUUGACUCGGCUCCUCCCUCACACCCAUGUCCAGGGCUGUGGCCAGCAUGGUGUCAUCCAUAGCCCUGGGACAGAAAUCAGGUAUUGGGCAGUGUGACCAACUGCUGAAGGAAGGCUGGGGAAUGACUGGAAGCCUACAUGGGAUUUAAGGAUGGCUCCCGGGACCGCAGCAUCAGAGGGACGUCAAGAACACACUUUAAAGGAGAGAGAGACCGUUGUGAGGGCUCUCAGGACCAAGCGCCUAUACUCUCUUGGCAACUUUCCUCGAGGUCCGGUGUACACACCCUUCCUAGUUUUGAGCAUCUACUCGUCCUUGAGAGAGCGGCAGCAAGAAGGAAAUGACUCUGCCAUUUGCAACCACCUCUCAUCCCAAACUUAUCCUAGACUGGGUCUUCCAGGACCAGAUCUGUGUCUGAUUCGCCUCUGUGUUCCCAAAAUUGAGUACCAGCUGGUACAAGGGUGACUCUCCACCCAUACUUGAAAAGUGGCUAUAUAUGUGGGGCCCAUCUCAUUCACUGGGUUCUAGGCCCUAGGGUGUUUUCAUCCUAACAGGAAACUGAUCUGGCCUAGGGUGGUGUUCGCAAGUCACCCAUUGGCACUGCUGCCUUCUUGGGCCACGGUCUCUUAAUGUAGUACUGGAAGUUCAUAUAUUCUCCCCAAAAGGGUAGGCAAAGUUUUCAAGAGUUUGUGGGUAGUUUUCUGGUGGGGAGGAUCGGCAGCAGCCUCCAUCAGAAUUCAGCAGGGGAUGUGAGAAGAGACCGGAGGAAGGGGACAGGGAUGAGAAUAAUUCCCGGAAGCAUUGGGCAGACACCGUCCCGUCCCUUCCCCCACCCCCCCCACACACACACCGGGGCCUUGCAUCUUCACGCAGCACACGUGUGUGCUGGCUGUCCUCCUCUGUUGAGGGAGGCCCCUGAGCUCCAGGGGCGCAUGUCAUUGUCCGGCCCUUUGCAAAGUUCUUUACACUGGGAUGUGUCCCCUGCAUGCACACUUCCUGUAGUGUGAGUACAUAUCAAAGAUAUUCGAUGCUUUCACGCGGCUCUGGAUCUUUUCCAGGCUCCUUCAGAAGCCCCAUCCACUCCCAUGGCAGUACUGGGGGUAUCUAGGCCAGGGCCUGGUGCGUCCUAAGCAAGCUCUCCACCUCUUCAAGCCCCCAGCCCCUUGAGUUUAACUCAGCUCUGUCUCUCCCUAAGGGCUCUCCCCAGGAGCUUCGCGCUUGCUUGCUUUUCCUUCAGGCCUCUGCUAUAGGGUCUUCAGGGCCAACUACCUGCCUGACCAUGGCCUGAGCAUCAAGAAGCCCCAGCACCUGCUUUAGCACAUGGCUGGGCUGAUUCUGAUUUUCAAGACACAUUUGUGUGGUCCUUUAACUGUCAGGGCUACUGAUGGACUGUAGUCUCCCAGAAGACGGGCACCACACUUGGCUCUUCUCCAUUCUGUUACUGUUGGCUAGCACUGGGUACGCAUACCAUAUAAGCUACAUAAAUGUGCAGGACCAAGUAUUGUUUUCACAUAUUGGAGCUGCUACAGCUGAACCAGUUUCUUGGAUGCUUUUUUUCUAAUGGGCAUGCAGCAUGCUCCAGGAUGUCUUAUUUGCAUAUGUGGUAGAAGGUGGCCAUUCUGGGGCUCGAAGGGAGAACUUCAUUCCUCAUUCUCUGCAGACCCAGGGAAGGAGCUCAGCUACAUAGACUCUGAACCCAGGCAGUCUGGAUUCAAACCUCAAAGUGACUCUAUUGCCCUGAGCAUGUUGAUCUCUUUGUGUGUGCCCACUUGUCCCUCAUCUCUAACACAGGGACGAUAACAUUUCUUACUUCCUAGGCCACUUAGGGGACUUUUGGAAAAAAAAAAACCCAUGCAUUUGUAACCUAGAGGGGGACAUAGCCAGUACAUGGCUGUCAUUAAUGGCCAUGCAAUUCAAAUCCCUUCUGCCCUUGCCUUUCAAUAUGUCCAAAGCUUAAAGCCUUCACUUCAGUUUCUUGGCUCUUAUUUAACCAGCCCAAGUAACAGGCUCAUACGAGGUCAUUUCCAACCUGUGGACACUGGGUUUUUAGCUAGAAGGACCUGUGUGACCCCAGUCUCUGGUACAUGGGGCAAAUCUCAGUUUCAGCAAAACGGCCAUAGUUUGCAGCCCAGUCUUGGAUCUGGGAGUUUUCUUAUUCAUAAAGCAAGCCUCAAGCCAGAAGCCUGAUGGGAGAAUUCGUUAAUGCCCUCGCCCGACCCUUGAGUAUGAAAAAGGGUCAGGGAAAACAGUUGGGUUUGCUGAGUGUCUACCAUAAUCCUUGGCACCCUACACAUGCCGGUAGUGAGCCUUCGCACUAGCCUGAAGGACCCACAGAGGAAGCCUGUGACUUAGGAAUCUUGGGCCAGUGUGUGGACUUUCUGCUAAUGCUUGCACUUUUUUUGGAAACUCUGGAAUAAUGUCUGUGGUAAUGGAAUAGUUCUGUAUCUUGAUUGUGGUGAUGAUUAUAUGGGAUAAACUCUCAUAGGAGCAUGUGCCCAUGAGCACACAGAUCGCAUGCUGAGUAGAAGCCUCUGGACUCUUAAAGAUGUCUGAGUUCAUGAAAUUGUACUGCAGCCAUUUUGCUGGCAUAGAGUCUUGUUGUAGUCACUUUAGAUGUUGCUACUGGGGGAAGUUAGGGAAGGGUCCGUGGAACCCUCUAUCUCUCUUCCUUGUGAGUCUUAAACUAGAAUAAAAUAAAAUAUUUGAAAAAAUGCAA